ensembl:lncRNA
UUGAUGCCGAACAAAAUGGCUGCAGAGGCUUGAUCCCGACUCGACACUCUCAGCGCUUUCUCCGGACACUCCGCACUUAUCCCUGGAUAUUUCCACUGUCGUUUUAAAAGCAUCUCUGGAUUUCUCCACACGACUGCAGCCAGACUGCUCGCCACAUCGCUCGCUAUCUUUAUUUUUGCACUUUAAUGAAGCAGCUCGCAUCGUAUAAUUUCAUGUCAGUCUACCAGACAGUAACGUUAGCAGCUUCAAACUGCCCUCUUCUUCAUCUUGCACCGUAGAUGAGAAGCUAUUUCUGAUGACCAAUUUAUGCCACUGUAAUUGACAAACUGCCUCGCUGAUUUAAUGUAUUUUAUUCCUGUCUUUUCGAGGGUAUUUAUAUGUUAUGGAAAUGUCAUGUGCUGUUUUUCCAGCAUGCAUGCAUCUAUAAUCUCCAUCAGAGCCCAAAGCUCUGAGUCUGCAUAGAAAUUUCACAACAGUCCUUUUCCCUUUGCAUACUGAAUUUUGCGUUUAUUUUCGUUCUGCUGCCUUUUUUGGACUCUUUCAGCUGCGCAUUCAGUACAGUGUUACUUGGGUCUGUCUGUUUUUACGGGUACUUUUUUUUUUUCGGAAAAAAAUAAGCCUUUUAUACCGCUGUACAACAUGCAACACUUUUUUAAAGAAAGCUGCCAAAGCUCGACUUGUGAACAAAAAGCUUAGAGAAGCUGAACAUCACGAGGAGAGAACCAUUUGAUGGAAGAAAAGAAAAAGAAAAAGCAAGAAGAAGAGACAAAGAAGGAUACUGCGCAGAAAACGGAUACUGAACAGAAAACCAAAGAAGCAGCUCCGGGCAGAUGACAUAUGAGGUCAGCUUUGCACAAGCACUGCUCAGAAGUGAUGAACGCAGAAGUGCAGGGGAGAGAUCAAAACAAAAUAACGGCCACUAAUUAGAAGUACAAAACAAGGAUUUGUAAAGAAGAAUGUCGGAGGAUUUCGAUAUAAGCCAAGAGGAGACUGCUUUUCCUUUGCUAAAGUAAGGAAACUUUGCUUCCUUUGCUCCUGUUACCAAACGUUGGUUUUCACGAGACUCACCAGCGCAUGUGCAACGCUGAACCCCAUCCCCCUUUAAAAUGAAUAUCAUCC